GGGGGAAUUUUGGACAAUGGGGGCAAGCGUGAUCCAGCACAACGGCGGGCAGGAAGAAGGCCUUUGGGUGUUAAAAUGCUUUUGUCAGGGAAGAAAUAUUGUGGGGUAAUACCCCGGGAGGAUGACGGUACACGAAGAAUAUGCACCGGGUAAAUACGUGCCAGCGCCCGCGGUAAUAUGUAGGGUGCGAGAGUUAUUCUGAAUUAUUGGGGGUAAAACGUGCGCACGCGGGUUUGUAAAUCAGAUGUGAAAUCCCCGGGCUCUACCUGGGAGAUGCAUUUGUGGCUGCAAGGCUAGAGUACGGCAGCAGGGGAUGGAAUUCCGCGUGUAGCAGCGAAAAAAGUAGAUAUAUGGAGGAACGCCAAUGGCGA
rnacentral:rRNA from 1 species